rnacentral:rRNA from 1 species
GGGUUCCACCUCUUCCCAUUCCGAACAGAGAAGUUAAGACCGCCAGCGCCGAUGGUACUGCAUUUACUUGUGGGAGAGUAGGUCGUCGCCACUU